rnacentral:rRNA from 1 species
ACUACGGGAGGCAGCAGUGGGGAAUAUUGCACAAUGGGGGAAACCCUGAUGCAGCGACGCCGCGUGAGUGAAGAAGUAUUUCGGUAUGUAAAGCUCUAUCAGCAGGGAAGAAAAUGACGGUACCUGAUUAAGAAGCCCCGGCUCACUCCGUGCCAGCAGCCGCGGUCAUACGUAGGGGGCAAGCGUUAUCCGGAUUUACUGGGUGUAAAGGGAGCGUAGACGGCAGCACAAGUCUGGAGUGAAAUGCCGGGGCUUAACCCCGGAACUGCUUUGGAAACUGUGCAGCUAGAGUGCAGGAGAGGUAAGUGGAAUUCCUAGUGUAGCGGUGAAAUGCGUAGAUAUUAGGAGGAACACCAGUGGCGAAGGCGACUUUCUGGACUGUACCUGACGCUGAGGCGCGAAAGCGUGGGUAGCGAACGGGAUUAGAUACCCCGGUAGUC